rnacentral:rRNA from 1 species
CCUACGGGUGGCUGCAGUGGGGAAUCUUGGACAAUGGGCGCAAGCCUGAUCCAGCCAUGCCGCGUGAGUGAUGAAGGCCUUAGGGUUGUAAAGCUCUUUUGUCGGGGACGAUAAUGACGGUACCCGAAGAAUAAGCUCCGGCUAACUUCGUGCCAGCAGCCGCGGUAAUACGAAGGGAGCUAGCGUUGUUCGGAAUCACUGGGCGUAAAGCGCACGUAGGCGGAUUUGUUAGUGAGGGGUGAAAUCCCGGGGCUCAACCUCGGAACUGCCUUUCAUACUGCAGAUCUCGAGUCCGAUAGAGGUGGGUGGAAUUCCUAGUGUAGAGGUGAAAUUCGUAGAUAUUAGGAAGAACACCGGUGGCGAAGGCGGCCCACUGGAUCGGUACUGACGCUGAGGUGCGAAAGCGUGGGGAGCAAACAGGAUUAGAUACCCUAGUAGUC